GUAGGCAGAGGCACCUUGGAAGCGGGCUGUCUAGGUUAGAAGGGACCAAGAAGGCAAAUGACUCAACACUUUUUAUAAAUGAGUAACUGAGGCCGGGAAAGGGGAUGCCUCAUGCCGAUCCAGCCUAUCAUCUGUUGAGAUCACAGUCAUCUUUAUCAAAUACUGUACAACUGUCUGAAAACGCCCAGUUGGCUCCACAGGACAAGUCCAAACUUAGUGGCAUAAUUUUCCAAACAAUCUUGUUCAAACUUACUUUUCCCAUUUGAGUUCCGGUUUAAAGGUCUUGGUUUCCUAAAGGGGAACAUUUCUACCAGGGAACACAGCAAGAAUCUUCAUUGGACUUUAAGCUACACCACCACCCAGGCACUUUGGGUCUGUGGGGACUGGAAUCGGCCACCCCCAGGUUCCUCAUGCUAAGGACCAGCAGGCAAGAGAAAGAUCUGUCGACGAAAAUAAUCCAUAACCAAUCUGUAAAUGAAAAUUUGGAUCCUGGCGGGGGUAAUUGACUCCUAUCAAGAGGCGGUGGAACUGCUGUUUUACAACUUUCAGUACUGUCUUGUGCAAUUUUGAUGGCAAAUGGAUAAGCACAGCAGGUGCAGCCUGAGAGGAGCAUGGUAAACAGUAACUGGAACUCAUCAGUUUUGAGUGUCUGAGUCACUCCACUUGGUAAAACACUUAAACCUUCAGAGGUGCUAAUCAACAGUGAGGAAAAUCUGGAAUGGACAAGAGACAAGGGAGAGGAUGAAUAUAAGUUGCAGUCUCAAGACCAGCUGUAGGAGCAGAGAGGUUGUAGUUCAUCUUACUAAUCUUCCUUUUAUAAGUUUCCCCCAGGAAAGAGGUCCACCAAUGUACUGAAGGAGCUACUCUCAGAACUCAUAUGAAGAAAGUGGAUCUGAAUGGCACAAGGUCUGGACCAUCCCGGAAGCUAUGCUGCCCUUUCCAGACCACACCUGUCAGCCCUCUUAGAAAUUGCUUCAGCUGAAGAGAGCUGCUUUGCUCAGUCAGGUCCCCUCUGGGCAGCCAGUGUCCACUGACUAAUUGACACCCAAUCCUAUUUUCUUUUGUUCCACAGUUGUUGAUUGCAG
rnacentral:lncRNA from 1 species